AAUGUAGUCUUGCUCUCAGGCGGGCAGAUGAGAGAGAGCGAUGGGGCGUUUCUUGCGCCACUUGUCCUUCUGGCCCCUUGGUCCAGCAUUUCACUGAGGUCCCUCGAGGUCGAAGACAAGUCCCUGCGUGCGCAGUCUCUCAUUUCUUGCCAAUUUGGGGAGGUUACAAUCAAAUGACUAGGAAAAGAUCUUGGGUUCCAGACCAGGAAUCAGGCCGCCUGUUCUGAUUCCCACCUGCUUCUUUCUGCUGGGACUCGCCACGGACCUCCCUGAGCCUCAUUUUCCCAAAUUCAUUCAGUCGGUAGUUCCUAAGAGCCUAUUCAGCCAAUACUUAGUUCCUUGGAGCCAGCUCUGCGCUCAGCACCGAGCGGUCCCUGGAAAAGCAGUGGUGAGCAGAGAAGAUAACUAGGUCCCUGUUUUGGAAUGCGAGUUACAGGGGAAGACAGCCCAUCCCUACUCAGACGCACAGGAGGGUAAGUUGUGUAACUUGGUAGGUUGCUGUGAAGUUAAAUGAAAUAAUGGAAGGGAAAAUGGUUGCUAAAUUGUGACAUCAUAUUCACUGUCAGAGGAAACUUAACCUGAUUUCUCCCCACCAGUAUGUUCUUACUCCACUCUGAGCCCACAUAAUCAUGGUUUUGGCAAACUUCUGUGAAAGGCCAAAAGUCUGAAUUUUUAUGUGAAAUUACCCAAUUUUGAAAACUCCAUGGACCAAAUAAAACCCUAUUUGUGACCUCUGAAACAAGGAGAUCAAGAUCAGAUUCAGCUUCAGUACAAGGAAAAGAAGUCCCAGGUUGACUGUUGUGCUGCAAUCCUAGAAAGCAGUCAAUCAAAUUAGAAGAGCCCCUAUGAAGAAAACAGAAUCGAUUCUCACCAGGAAUUAGUGUCAAAAAUUGAAAGAUUCUUCAGCAUUCAGAAACUCAUAAGAGGAUAUAAUUACAAUUUUAUGCCUAGACAUUUGAAAAUUUAGAUGGAAUAGAAUUUCUAGGAAAAAAAAAAUCUAUACCUAAAUGGACACAAGAAGUAAUAGAAAAUCGGAAUAAUCCCAUAACUAUUAAAGAAAUUGAAUCUAUAAUUUAAAAACCUUACCCUACACACACACGAAAACUUCAGUCCCAAAUGGCUAUGAAAUCUACCAACCUUUUAAGGAAGAAAUAAUACCAGUAAUAUAUAAUUUCUUCCAAAAGCCAGAUAAAGAACUAAUAUUCCCUGACUGUUAUUGUGAGGCCAGCAUAACACUAAUACCAACAAUAACAGAUAAGAGGCAAUGAAAAUCUCUAAUUUUAUUUCAUUUAAUCUGAGCUGCUUUCAUUAAUAAGGUUUCAUCGAUUUGUUGCAACAAUGAUGGGGACAUCGAAUACCCUGGUUCUGAAACAUGAGCUUACACCAGAACCACCUGGCCAAGUUGAACAUGCAAAAUUGCUUCAGUUGUGUCUACUUCUUGGUGACCCUGUGGACUGUAG